rnacentral:rRNA from 1 species
GACGAACGCUGGCGGCGUGCUUAACACAUGCAAGUCGAACGGAAAGGCCCUGCUUUUGUGGGGUGCUCGAGUGGCGAACGGGUGAGUAACACGUGAGUAACCUGCCCUUGACUUUGGGAUAACUUCAGGAAACUGGGGCUAAUACCGGAUAGGAGCUCCUGCUGCAUGGUGGGGGUUGGAAAGUUUCGGCGGUUGGGGAUGGACUCGCGGCUUAUCAGCUUGUUGGUGGGGUAGUGGCUUACCAAGGCUUUGACGGGUAGCCGGCCUGAGAGGGUGACCGGCCACAUUGGGACUGAGAUACGGCCCAGACUCCUACGGGAGGAAGCAGUGGGGAAUAUGGCACAAGGGGCGGAAGCCUGAUGCAGCAACGCCGCGUGCGGGAUGACGGCCUUCGGGUUGUAAACCGCUUUCGCCUGUGACGAAGCGUGAGUGACGGUAAUGGGUAAAGAAGCACCGGCUAACUACGU